ACGUUUUGUUUUCGUUCGGUAAAACAGUCUAAAACAGGCUUCAUCCCGAACGCCAGCAUCAAUCCUAUCUUCUUCUCCCCUUGCUCCACCGCUCAGAGCACACUGCUCUGUCUCCGCCACGCAAUACAGAGAGGAGUGGCCUUCGCCGGCAACAAGGCUCCUCCCUGACCAGAUCCCGCCACAGUCGCGGCGGCAGGGGGCCAGGGAUUUGGCGUUCGCUACAGCCGAGCACCAGGUACUGCCGCGCUACGACUCAGCUCCUCGCCGACCGGAGCGAGGUGCCGUCGCGGUCCGAGGCCGAGCGCCGCCACGAGCACCAGGCCGCCGCGCUCGGGGCGACGCUGCCCGCACCAUCCCUGCGAUGCGUCCACCUCCAACCCGGCGGCGAUGGCGAUGUCCGCGAGGCCCUGGGCGCGAGGGAGGCGAUGGCGACCAGCUGAAGCGGCGGCACCGUCAUCCUACACCGGGAGGCGGGGCCUGGUGGCGCACGAGGCUGCGGGACGCGGAAGGGGGAGAAGCAAUGGAGGUACUGACGGGCGUGGUGCUGUUCGAGGAGGCGGGGCGCGGAGGGAGAGAGCAGUGGAGGUGCUGACGCUGACGCCGCGGCGCUUCAUGGAGGUCAACUAGGAGGUGGACGAGGCCUUGCGGCUCGCAGCCGACCUGCUCGCCGAUGCGCCAAUAGGGAUCUGCUCGCCGGCGGGGACGCCAUUUUCUUCUAGUGAUGUGCGGAUGGUGAACUGCUCACCGGGAUUCACCCCGAGCCCAGGGAGUUGGAGUAUCGGGGAUAGGAUAUGUGCAUCGAGCAGAUUUUAGAUUUCUGGUUCACAUGGGUACACAUUGGGUACAUCUUGACAAUAUUUUUUCUGGAAUAGUUUCUUUUGAGCAUGGCAAAUUGUGUAGAACAUGAUAUUUAGUACAAUAUGGCAAAUUGGCAACUAGUGUGUAGUGUUUAGCACUGUUUAGUGUUGUUUGUCCUCCUGCGAGAAUUAUAUUCAGUAAUUUGCCAUGGCAUUUGUCCUCCUGUAUUUAGUCUGUAGUGCAAAUUUUGUAAACUUGCCAUGUGAUCAGUACAUACAAACUCUAGCUUUGAAAUGAAUCAUGAAUCGGAUUUUCUCUAGAUUUUGCCAUGAAUCAAAAGUAUAUAUUGUUGAACACUGCUUUGCCAUGGCAAAAAGGAUUUUAUAGCUUUUGGCAUGCCU